CCAGUCGGCCGGGCGGCCGCUCCGUUUCCGCAUGGAGGCGGGGAGGAAAGUCCGGGCUCCACGGAAGAACGGUGCCGGAUAAUUUCCGGCGAGGGCAACCUCAGGGAAAGUGCCACAGAAAGGAAACCGCCCCGCCUGCAAAUCGGCUUCGUCUGAUGGCCGGGCCGAUUUGCCGGCGGGGUAAGGGUGAAAGGGUGGGGUAAGAGCCCACCGCGCGGACGGCAACGGACGCGGCAAGGUAAACCCCACCGGGAGCAAGACCAAAUAGGGAUGGCGCGAAGGGCGACCUUCAGGCGUUUCCGGCCGAGCCAUCCGGGUUGGUUGCUUGAGGCGGAUGGCAACAUCCGUCCCAGAGGAAUGGCCGCCACGUGCCGUGCCGCAAGGCGCGGGGCCAUACAGAACCCGGCUUACAGGCCGGCUGGCAAU
rnacentral:RNase_P_RNA from 1 species